rnacentral:lncRNA from 1 species
AUGAGUAUCUUCAGCGACUCAUUGAUGAUAUUCGAAUGAAGAAGUUUGAUUCCACUGGUUCAGUAGUGGAGAAAUUCUUGAAGCUUCAAGAAUCAGAACCUGAAUUUUACUCUGAUGAUGUUAUCAAAGGAAUUGUAGUGUUAAUGUUCAACGCCGGAUCGGAUACUUCACCGGUGACAAUGGAAUGGGCAAUGGCGCUUUUACUGAACCAUCCAGAUAAGCUUGACAAGGUCAGAGAAGAAAUCAAAUCUAAUGUUAAACACAAAGGGAUUAUACAAGACUCGGAUCUCUCAAGCUUACCUUAUCUUCGAUGUGUCAUCUAUGAGACGCUUAGGCUACACCCUGCAGCUCCUAUCUUGCCUCCUCACUGUUCAUCCAAGAGAUUCAACUUAGGCAACUACGAGAUCCCUGAAAAUACAGUGUUGUUGGUGAAUG